UACGAAGGGUGCAAACGUUGCUCGGAAUUAUUGGGCGUAAAGCGCACGUAGGCGGCUUAGCAAGUCGGAAGUGAAAAGCCCCUCGGCUCAACCAAGGAAGUGCUUUCGAAACUGCUGAGCUUGAGUACUUAAGAGGAUCGCGGAAUUCCCGGUGUAGAGGUGAAAUUCGUAGAUAUCGGGAGGAACACCAGUGGCGAAGGCGGCGAUCUGGGAAGAUACUGACGCUGAGGUGCGAAAGCGUGGGGAGCGAUCCGG
rnacentral:rRNA from 1 species